AAGUUGAAAAAACGGCAAAUCCAUAAAGAAAAUACACUCUUAUGAAAAAUUCUUAUUGAAGUUUUGGCGAUAUGUAACCCCUAGAAUUAAAAAAUAAUAAUUUUCUGGGGAAUCCUCUCACUGUCGAAUGACGAGAUAAAAUGCAAAUUUCCCGCUUUGGGCGCAUGCGCAAGAAUCUAGGCAAGUAGAACGUAAACAUAAGCGGCAGAAACAUGGCUUCCGAAGCCAAGAGAUGUCGGCCUAGAAUUGUAACGAGUUCGGCAACAUAGCGACGUAAAUAGAAAUGGUCACAGGUCAACCCGAUUAUACGACUGAGGGAAACAACACACUAGGUGGAAGACAUUCAAUGAAGAAAAUAGUUUCUCUACAAACGAGCAUGCAGCACGGAUUCUUCUGGAUAAGUGUGCACUUCAUUGACACAAGAAGUUCAUGCAGGUGAAGACAUCCCGACACCAGCUGAAACUUCUAUGGGACCGCCAUCACAUGUGUGCACCCCUACACCAGUAACAUCUACGCCUGCACAUGCCCAUAAAGAACCUAUAGCUAUAGAUAGACCUCCGAUGUCUCAGAUAUAGAAGCUCAGUCAUCACACUCGUCUGAUUUAUCUUGUGUGGAAGCAUUACAAUCAGACUCCCAGAGUCACAUUAAUGCCAGCUUGCUUUCCCAUUACCAACAGAAGGCUAAAGAGGAUGACACCUCAUUUAUUGAUAUACCUCAGACACAUCAACCUGAACACUUGCCAAUGGCUGAAGAUCCCAUAGAAAUGGAAGAGGUUGAUGUUGAUGAUGAGCUUGCAGAGGAUGAAGGAGACAUUGUGGAAACAGACACUCAAAAUGAUAGUGUUGAAGAAAGGAAAUCCAUAUGCUUCCAAGGUGCCCUGUUGUAACUCACGUCAGUUCGAAUACCCACAACUUGUCAAAGAAAAGCAUGUGGUGCAAAUAUCAUUCUCCAAUGGAGAUAUGUUGGAUGUGCAGUACAGUUGAAAUGAAUUGGAGGAGCAGCAUUUGGUUCUAGUCCUGGAUCCUCUGGUUCACCUACAUUUUCGCAAAGGUCAAAAACUAGGCCUGGCUGACGAUACACUAGCUGAAGAACUAAAUUUAUCAGUGGCUUUGGGUCCAUCCUUCUGAUUAUAUCCUAAUACAUCAAACAAUUAUUAUAGAACAAAUCCAUGUGGGUGGGAGUACUGUAGCAUUCUAAUGUAUAAAAAUAACUGUUUUUCCUUAUUUUUGGUUUUUGAGUUGAUAAAUUUUAAUGCACUUGUAUAACUUAUCUAUUUUCCCUCAAAUUUCAUCCCAAAUUUUUCUACUAAGGUUUUAUUUAAGGUAUGUAUGCGUUUUUUGAUAAUUGUUUGUGGAAGUAAGUAUUGUGUAAAUGUGGUGUUCAAUUUCAGAACAUGUAGGAGGUAGGUGUUCACUUAAUGGUGUAUUGCAGGUGUUUACAUUUCAGUACUAGUGUGUGUUUUGAGAGUGUUCACUUGACAGUAAAUGCAGGUGUUCUUUCAACAUUGUGUGUAGGAAGUGUUCAAUUAUCAGUUUGCAGGAAGUGUUCAAUUAUCAGUGUGUGUAGGAAGUGUUCACUAUCAGUUUGUAGGAAGUGUUCAAUUAUAUCAGUGUGUAUACGAAGUGUUCACUUGUGAGAAUGUGUUUGAGGUGCACGUGUGUACUAACAUUGUGUGUAGUUGUUAUUAACUUAUAAUAACAUUGUGUUCAUAGAUGGUUCAUUCUGAUAAAUGUGUUAAUCAAGUGUCUAGUUGCAUAUUUUUUCAAUAUUCUGUGAACUAAAAUGAAAUACCCCCAUGUGUAAUGUAAAUACCUACCUAGAGAAACAGGUCUUAUAACCAUACCAUUCACUUGGUUGGUUAAAAAUUAGGUGUUCAUACACAUAUGGGAAGUAUGUUUGAUGUGUGAGAGGGUCUGUGCAUUUUUGGUAAAAUUUAACACUUUCAGUGAGUAAUAGUAUAAAUUGUCUCCUGAAUGCUUUGGUAAAAUGUCUACUGUUCUUUUUGUCUGUGUACAUGCCAAAGAAAUAUCAAAAUAAAAAAGAUAUGAAAAGAAAUAA